CUGAAACCUCUCUAGUUGCAGAAAGUACCGCAGCAGCAACAGGUGGACGUGUUGAAGGACCUGUUCCCUAUGAUGGUGCGAAUCAAUACUCCAACGUAGGCUAUCCUGUUACAAAUGAAGGCCAGACUGGUCUUGAUGAUGCUCCUUUUCCCUAUGAUGGUGCAAAACCUGUGUCAAUAGAAUUUUCCCCCAGUGGACGUGUUGAUGGACCUGUUCCCUUUGAUGAUGCUACUCAAUACGCUAAAACAGGGUACGCCAUUACAAAUGAAGGUCCGACUGGUCUCUAUGAUGGACCUGUUCCCGAUGGCACUGCUACUCGUUAUGCCAACGCAAAACCUGUGUCAAUAGACUUUUCCCCCAGUGGACGUGUUGAUGGACCUGUUCCCUAUGACGAUGAUACUCAAUACGCCAACGCAGCUCCGAUAAAUGCCGGUCAAACUGGAAGUAACCCAGCUGCCCCAGGUGGACUCUAUGAUAGACCUGAUCUCUAUGGUGGUGUAAAACCUGUGUCAAUAAAAGUUGCCCCCAGUGGACGUGUUGAUGGACCUGUUCCCUUUGAUGAUGCUACUCAAUACGCUAAUAUUUGGGC